rnacentral:rRNA from 1 species
CUGUUGCUUGCAACGGCGAAUUGUAGUCUCGCGAAGCGUUUUCCAGACGGACCUUCCCUGCCUAAGUUGCUUGGAACAGCACAUCAGAGAGGGUGACAAUCCCGUUCGUGGCAGGGCGGGCCGUUCACGAUACGCUUUCCAUGAGUCGGGUUGCUUGGGAAUGCAGCCCAAAAUUGGUGGUAAACUCCAUCUAAAGCUAAAUAUUGGCACGAGACCGAUAGCGAACAAGUACCGUGAGGGAAAGAUGAAAAGAACUUUGAAAAGAGAGUUAAAAAGUGCGUGAAACCGUUAGAGGGGAAACGGAUGCAGUUAGCAAUGCUUCGGCGAGAUUCAGACGGCCGCUUGGCCAGACGUGCAGUGCAUGGAUCCGAAUGGACUGUCUCUGUGCGGCCUGGUCUUGUGCUCGUCGCACUUUUCGUCGAGGCGCGUCAACAGCUGUUGGGACUGAGCGACAAGGCUCCGAGGAAGGUAACCGUGUACUUCGGUGUGCGGCGUUAUAGCCUCGGAGAUUCAGCCAGUUCGGUCUUGGCAGAGGCGAGCGGUGCAUGCCCUCGGGCUGGCGUACCUCCUGUUGGCUGGGUGUCGACCAUGACGGACUGCUUGCAGUGCGUCUGAACUGCACCCGGUCAUUUAGGGGUGUAAGCGCACACUAUGCACCUUGGUUGUUGGCGGCCAUAUGGCUUUAUCCGACCCGUCUUGAAACACGGACCAAGGAGUCUAACAUGUGCGCAAGUCUUGGGGUGACCGAAACCCAAAGGCACAAUGAAAGUGAAGGCUGCCUAGCAGCUGAGGUGAGAUCUUCGUUCUGCGUGGAUGAGGCGCAUCAUCGACCGACCUAUUCUACUCUUAGAAAGGUUUGAGUAAGAGCGCAAAUGUUGGGACCCGAAAGAUGGUGAACUAUGCCUGAGUAGGGUGAAGCCAGAGGAAACUCUGGUGGAAGCUCGUAGCGAUUCUGACGUGCAAAUCGAUCGUCGAACUUGGGUAUAGGGGCGAAAGACUAAUCGAACCAUCUA